rnacentral:rRNA from 1 species
UACAGAGGGCCCAAGCGUUGUUCGGAUUCAUUGGGCGUAAAGGGUGUGUAGGCGGCGCCGUAAGUCGGGUGUGAAAUCUCGGGGCUUAACUCCGAAACUGCAUUCGAUACUGGCGUGCUUGAGGACUGGAGAGGAGACUGGAAUUCAUGGUGUAGCAGUGAAAUGCGUAGAGAUCAUGAGGAAGACCAGUGGCGAAGGCGGGUCUCUGGACAGUUCCUGACGCGGAGGCACGAAGGUCAGGGGAGCAAACGGG